CCUGGCGGCAGUAGCGCGGUGGUCCCACCUGACCCCAUGCCGAACUCAGAAGUGAAACGCCGUAGCGCCGAUGGUAGUGUGGGGGUCUCCCCAUGCGAGAGUAGGGAACUGCCAGGG
rnacentral:rRNA from 1 species